AUGGCGCACAGUGACUUGGACCCCAAAGGCCACGGCCUUGGAUCUGUCAGGAGGAGGUCACGAAUUGCUGCUGAGGACAUACUGACGGGGGAGAGGCAAGGCCGCUCGUGCUGCCCACAACGCGACCACGCCCUGCCCCGGGGUUCCGCGACGGCAGCGGCAGUGGCGGUGUCGACCCACAACCACUUGCUGACCUGUGGUUCAGCGAUGGCGGCGGCGAUGGAGUUCACAGAGGAUCAUAUCCUGGAAACACUUCCAUGCACCUUUGACAACUUAAAGAGUUUAACCCUCUGGACUCACUUUGAGGAAAUGCCUACCAUUUUGUCAACCUUUUGCAUGUUGAGGAAUGCUCCUAACCUUGAAGAACUUGAUAUAAUGAUUGAUGUUUUUUCGGAUGAGGAAAAUGAAGCAAAUGGGGAGUUUCAGAAUGCACAAUGGACCGAUGACAUGUGUCCCAACCUUCAAGUUGUGCGAUUGACGGGUGUUCUCUGUUCGUCAAAUGAAAUGUGUUUUAUACAGCUUCUUUUAUCUAAAGCUACAGCUCUUCGCAUGAUGUCUAUUACUCUUGGUUACGGAAGCUUAAAGUCUAGUGAGGAUGCACUGCGCGAACUGAUAACAUAUAGAAGAGCUUCACCCCAUGCUCAAAUCUUCUUCGACAAGGAGACUUAA
rnacentral:rRNA from 1 species